rnacentral:lncRNA from 1 species
GGAGGCGGAGCCAACCAGGGGCGUGGUCAGGUGAUCGGAGGUGCUGGACUGGACGUGGACUUCACGCUGGAGAGCCCUCAGGGCGUGCUGUUGGUCAGCGAGUCCCGCAAGGCUGAUGGGGUACACACGGUGGAGCCAACGGAGGCCGGGGACUACAAGCUGUGCUUUGACAACUCCUUCAGCACCAUCUCCGAGAAGCUGGUGUUCUUUGAACUGAUCUUUGACAGCCUCCAGGAUGACGAGGAGGUCGAAGGAUGGGCAGAGGCUGUGGAGCCCGAGGAGAUGCUGGAUGUUAAAAUGGAGGACAUCAAGGAGUCCAUUGAGACCAUGCGGACCCGGCUGGAGCGCAGCAUCCAGAUGCUCACGCUACUGCGGGCCUUCGAGGCACGUGACCGCAACCUGCAAGAGGGCAACUUGGAGCGGGUCAACUUCUGGUCAGCUGUCAACGUGGCGGUGCUGCUGCUGGUGGCUGUGCUGCAGGUCUGCACGCUCAAGCGCUUCUUCCAGGACAAGCGCCCGGUGCCCACGUAGCCCCUGCCAU